CCCGCUGAACUUAAGCAUAUCAAUAAGCGGAGGAAAAGAAACCAACAGGGAUUGCCUUAGUAACGGCGAGUGAAGCGGCAAAAGCUCAAAUUUGAAAUCUGGCAGUAAUGUCCGAGUUGUAAUUUGAAGAAGGUAACUUUGGUGAUAGCUCUUGCAUAUGUUCCUUGGAACAGAACGUCACAGAGGGUGAGAAUCCCGUCUAGAACUGAUGGCCGCGUCCAUGUGAAACACCUUCGACGAGUCGAGUUGUUUGGGAAUGCAGCUCAAAAUGGGUGGUAAAUUUCAUCUAAAGCUAAAUAUUGGCCAGAGACCGAUAGCGCACAAGUAGAGUGAUCGAAAGAUGAAAAGUACUUUGAAAAGAGAGUUAAACAGUAUGUGAAAUUGUUGAAAGGGAAGCGCUUGCAACCAGACUUGUGUGUGGCGGUUCCCCCGGUCUUCUGACCGGGUUAUUCUGUCAUAACCAGGCCAGCAUCGAUUUAGGUGGCCAGUUAAAGGCUCUGGGAAGGUAUCUACCUUCGGGUCGACUUACAGCCCAGGGUGUAAUGUGGCCUACCUGGAUCGAGGAACGCGCUCUUUGCCCGGAUGUUGGCGUAAUGGUUGCAAGCGGCCCGUCUUGAAACACGG
rnacentral:rRNA from 1 species